AAAAUGGCUAAAGAUAGUAACUUAUUGCCUGAUCAGGUUACUUAUAACACUAUUAUACAUAUGCUUUCAAAGCAUGGCCAUGCUGAUGAAGCCUUAGGAUUCUUAAGGGAAGCUGAAGAAAGAGGAUUCCGAGUGGAUAAAGUGGGGUAUAGUGCUGUAGUGAACUCCUUCUGUAAAGAAGGAAGUUUAGAUAAGGCAAAGGAACUGGUCA
rnacentral:misc_RNA from 1 species